rnacentral:rRNA from 1 species
GGGCCCGCACAAGCGGUGGAGCAUGUGGUUUAAUUCGAUGAUACGCGAGGAACCUUACCAGGGCUUAAAUGUAGUCUGACAGGGUGGAAACACCUCCUCCUUCGGGCAGAUUACAAGGUGCUGCAUGGUUGUCGUCAGCUCGUGCCGUGAGGUGUUAGGUUAAGUCCUGCAACGAGCGCAACCCCUAUUCUUAGUUGCCAGCGUUCGGCCGGGACUCUAAGAAGACUGCCAGCGCAAGCUGAGAGGAAGGUGGGGAUGACGUCAAAUCAUCACGGCCCUUACGUCCUGGGCUACACACGUGCUACAAUGGUACAGACAGAGGGCAGCCACCUGGCGACAGGAGCGAAUCCUUAAACUGUAUCUC